CGGACCUCCGAUCAAGCAAGAGG
rnacentral:rRNA from 6 species